rnacentral:pre_miRNA from 14 species
UUUUCUCUGAUGGGGUUGAAAGACCCCCGAAGUAGGGAGACCCUCACUCAAGUCUCAGGAUGAUGCGACCCCCCCAGGAACUCAUGAGAGACC